rnacentral:rRNA from 1 species
AGAGUUUGAUCAUGGCUCAGGAUGAACGCUGGCGGCGUGCCUAAUACAUGCAAGUCGAGCGGUAACACUUCGGGUGACGAGCGGCGGACGGCUGAGUAACACGUAGGAACGUACCCUAAACUGUGGGAUAAGCACCAGAAAUGGUGUCUAAUACCGCAUGUGCUCUAAGGAGUAAAGCUUCGGCGGUUUGGGAACGGCCUGCGCAUGAUUAGCUUGUUGGUGAGGUAAAAGCUCACCAAGGCGAUGAUCAUUAGCUGGUCUGAGAGGAUGAUCAGCCAGACUGGGACUGAGACACGGCCCAGACUCCUACGGGAGGCAGCAGUAGGGAAUCUUCCACAAUGGGCGAAAGCCUGAUGGAGCAACGCCGCGUGCAGGAUGAAUGCCUUAGGGUUGUAAACUGCUUUUAUAUGCGAAGACUUCGACGGUAGCAUAUGAAUAAGGAUCGGCUAAUUCCGUGCCAGCAGCCGCGGUCAUACGGAAGAUCCAAGCGUUAUCCGGAAUUACUGGGCGUAAAGAGUUGCGUAGGUGGCAUGGUAAGCAGAUAGUGAAAUGAUGCGGCUCAACCGUAUGUCCAUUAUCUGAACUGCCAAGCUAGAGUAUAUGAGAGGUAGCUGGAAUUCCUAGUGUAGGAGUGAAAUCCGUAGAUAUUAGGAGGAACACCGAUGGCGUAGGCAGGCUACUGGCAUAUUACUGACACUAAGGCACGAAAGCGUGGGGAGCGAACGGGAUUAGAUACCCCAGUAGUCC